GUCAAGAUCACUGCUUGGACUUAUACUUCUCAAUGAGGAAAUCCUGAAAACUGGGAAAUACUCUGCAAUUUGCCCAAUCUGAAGCUGUGAAUUUGGAUAUACCCAUCGUGUUUCCCUGGUGACUUCACAGAGACGACGUUGUCUGAAAUGGAAGCCAUCUGAGGUUCACUCAGAACAUGUCAGUCAUGGCCAAAGCUUUGCACAGAGAAGGGGCCUCUGAUCCUGGGGGUCUGGAUAUGAUGAGUUGACAAGGACUUUGGAAACAGAACACUGGCUAAUAAACCAACUCUGAAAGUUUUGGGACCCUGUUAUACUCUUGGAGAGAUUUUUGA